AUGUUAACAUGGUAUCAUUCACUUGUUUCUGAUCAUCCAUGCUUCCCUGAGCGUCGAAGUUCGAUUCAUCUCAUUCAUCUCUUCGUUUUCCCUCUUCUUGCAAAAGCUUCAAGGUUUGUUAAUGGAGUCUGGAAAUCAAGAAUCGAUGAUCAAAGAUUCAGCUCAACUGUAAGACGCCUCUAUGAUGUUUUCUUCGAAGAAAUCCAACAACUCCUUUGGACCAAAACUCUUUAUCAAGAUGCAAGAGAACAACUACCUGUUAUGGAAUCAAUAGGUUAA